AGAGUUAUAGUUUAAUAAAAACAUUUAGCUUGCAACUAAAAAAUACAAUGCGUUGACCCUA
rnacentral:tRNA from 1 species